rnacentral:rRNA from 1 species
GACGAACGCUGGCGGCGUGCUUAACACAUGCAAGUCGAACGGAAAGGCCCUGCUUUGGUGGGGUGCUAGAGUGGCGAACGGGUGAGUAAAACGUGAGUAACCUGCCCUUGACUUUGGGAUAACUUCAGGAAACUGGGGCUAAUACCGGAUAGGAGCUCCUGCUGCAUGGAGGGGGUUGGAAAGUUUCGGCGGUUGGGGAUGGACUCGGGGCUUAUCAGCUUGUUGGUGGGGUAGGGGCUUACCAAGGCUUUGACGGGUAGCCGGCCUGAGAGGGUGACCGGCGACAUGGGGACUGAGAUACGGCGCAGACUGCUAUGGGAGGCAGCAGGGGGGAGCAUGGCACAAUGGGCGGAAGUGUGAGGCAGCGACGCCGGGGUCGGGAUGACGUUCUGCGGGGGGUAAACAGCUUUCGCCUGUGACGAAGCGUGAGUGACGGUAAUGGGUAAAGAAGCACCGGCUAACUACGUG